rnacentral:lncRNA from 1 species
UUUUAAUUCAAAUUCAAAUACAUCCUAUGCCAGGGCCUCUGUGUAAAUAGAGCUCUUUCAAGGGGGGAAUCGAAUAUAGAAGGGAUGGGAAAAGAAACCUGAAUUAUUCCUUUGAAUAAACUCUUGAAGUAAAACUAAAUUAAACACCAGGGCCUUAUUUUCUCACCUAAGCGCUGGAUCCUAAGAUAAAGUUGAAGCCAGCCACACAACAGGUUGUUGUCACUAUUGUUGAUCCUGGCAGCUUAUUUGAAACCGGUUUACCAGCAUGGCAUAGCUUUAACCUAAAUUGACCGGUUGUUGGAAUUGAUUGCGUCUCGCCCUAUUUUCUAGGCUUUUCCUUGGCAGCUUUUCCAAAUCAACUCAAAGGACUGCACUAACUUUAUGGAAAAGACUUCGGAGGAGAAAGCUGAUGAGAUAAAAGAGAUGAUUUCAUUAAUGGAGCACAAGCAAGAUUUAGGACGGCUUGAGGUUGAAAAUUGUGAUUUAUCACGCACGACCCAGAAGGGGCUGAAUGGAUUAAUGCCCUGGGGAAUCAUGUGAAGGGCCAGAGAUUCCACAUCAAGAUGUGCUGGAAGUAGCAGGGGAAGAGGAGAAAACUCAGCAAGAUGAAAACGCCGAAGGUGCUAUGGAUACACGUCUCAGCUCUUCUUUUUCUCUUGGAUAUAGCUUCAGCAUGCUACGAGCAAAAAGAGCAUUAAAAAAAAAAAAAAAGGCAAGUGAGCCUUAAAGCAGCCUUCCAUAGCCUGAGUAAAACUGAAAUUAUUCUUUGACCCCUCAGGGAAAACAAACAAGUCCCUCUUUUUAGUUGUGUUAUGGUAUGAUGGAAACAUAAUCAAAGCUAUGCCAGUAUCAGCAGUGCCAUUGAGGGGUUUUGCCUCCAGAACCUCUUCAGGAAGGAAGGAAACAAAUUACGUAACUUUAUGAUAGUCUAAUCAACCCAACAUGAUAGCUAGAAAUAAGUAGUGGAGAGCAGACAGGUUACCUGCUCAUGAGAAAGUCCUGCAAAGAAUAAAAACAAGCAAAUAAACA